CCAGACUCCUACGGGAGGCAGCAGUGGGGGAGAGUGAACAAUGGGGGGAACCCUGAUGAAGCGACGCCGCGUGGGUGAAGGAGCACCUCGGUGCGUAAAGGACUAGCGGCAGGGAAGAAACAGACGGUAACCGACUAAGAAGCCCCGGCUAACUACGUGCCAGCAGCCGCGGUAAUACGUAGGGGGCAAGCGUUAUCCGGAUUCACUGGGUGUAAAGGGAGCGUAGACGGCGACGCAAGUCUGGAGUGAAAGCCCGGGGCCCAACCCCGGGACUGCUCUGGAAACUGCGGCGCUGGAGUACGGGAGGGGCAGGCGGAAUUCCUGGUGUAGCGGUGAAAUGCGUAGAUAUCAGGAGGAACACCGGCGGCGAAGGCGGCCUGCUGGACCGUGACUGACGUUGAGGCUCGAGAGCGUGGGGAGCAAACAGGAUUAGAUACCCCUGUAAU
rnacentral:rRNA from 1 species